AGCUUUGUGUAGUGGCAAUAUCAUAGCCAAUGAGGUUUAUCUGAGGAAUGAUUAUUGCUAAUUAAAACCGUAUGUAAUUACUGACAUGCCAUGAGCAGUGAUUUGGAAUAAAUAUAUAAAUU
rnacentral:snRNA from 1 species